GAUGAACGCUGGCGGCGUGCUUAAUACAUGCAAGUCGAACGGAGAGUGAGCAAUCGCUCUUAGUGGCGAACGGGUGAGUAACGCGUUGGUGACCUGUCCCGAAGAUGGGGAUAACAGUUCGAAAGGACUGCUAAUACCCGAUGUGGUUGUGAGAGUUAGAGGUCUUGCAACGGAAGGAGCAAUCCGCUUUGGGAGGGGCCGGCGUCCCAUCAGCUGGUUGGUAGGGUAACGGCCUACCAAGGCGAAGACGGGUAGGGGGCCUGAGAGGGUGACCCCCCACACUGGCACUGAAACACGGGCCAGACACCUACGGGUGGCAGCAGUAGGGAAUAUUGCACAAUGGGCGCAAGCCCGAUGCAGCAACGCCGCGUGCGCGAUGAAGGCCUUCGGGUCGUAAAGCGCUUUUCGGGGAGAUGAGCAAGGACAGUAUCCCCGGAAUAAGGCUCGGCUAACUACGUGCCAGCCGCCGCAGUAAGAC
rnacentral:rRNA from 1 species